CGCCGCCGCCUCUGCAAGGCAGGGCGGUUUGAAUCCCGCAGCCGCCGAACUCCGGGAGAUGCCGUCGCCGCCUCUCCAGGGCAGGGCGGUUUCAGUCCCUGCCGCCGAACUCCGGAAGACGCCGCCGCCACCGAACUCCAUGACCCAUGGCUGCCACACAUCUUCCUCCACGCACGGCCGCACCCCCACCCCUUUUUCUUCCCUCCCUCCGGCCUUCAUCUCUACCCGUCCCACUCCUCGGCCUUCAAUGGUGAUCCGCUGCCUCCCGCUCCUCGUGCUCCGAUCUGACAACUGAUUCACCGCCGCGCCUCGGAUACGUCGCGGCGACUCGGAUACAGGCGACCGGCGGUGAUCUGAGACCAACGAGUCGGCACCACAUCCCUGAUCUUCAGAACACCGAGCGAAAUAUUGGCUUGGAACGAUCUUGGGUUGGCAGGGCGGCCAGACCAGGUGGCAAAUGUGGUGCACGAGUCAACCUCACAUCAUACUAUGGUGUCUAGGAUGGGCGUGGUGUAACAUGAUGCUUUCUAGAAGCAUGUUAUCGAACAUCUCCACAGAAUCACGAGCUUGCCUAAUUCCCAAAGCAUGUUAUCAUAAGGAUGACUAGAAGAUGCUUGGAGGCUAAGGACAAAGAGGAUCUGACGUUCACGUUUUUGGGAGGCAAUAAGUACUUUGUGCACUUUGGCUGUGGAUAUGGGUACACAUUCUUGAUGUCUCGAUGAAUUGGAGAACAGAUGUAAUGGUACGUGCUCUAUGCAAGGACAUGAGAACAAUCCUCCAAAUUGAACUACGUGAUGGGAGAGUAGGUAGGAAACUUUGUUCGUGUACGGGUUGCUUUUCCUGUAUAUAGCGGGCGCUGGAAAUUUCAGUUGCGAUGAUAGCAAGGAUCAAGGAAAAGAGAACAAGGGUGGGGCUUAAACUUCAGUACGGGUGCUUGCCGUGGUUCUGCUAUGCAUGUGGCUACAUCGGGCAUCAGGUCAUGUCUUGUGCGCGUAAGUUCAGGUGGUGAACCUGUAUGCUGACGACUGCGAUGCUUACCACCGAGGAAGUUCGUGCAACAAGCAGGAAGCACCUUGGACAAAUUUUGGAAAGAGGAGCACGACUCGGAGGUAUGAGCCCCAGCAAGGGCCAUCACAGCUGCGCUGACAAGCAAGUGUAAGUUGGUGAUGGUGCCACCGUGUCAGAGUUCGGAGACUACCCUUGGAAGCACAAAUUGGACAAAGUGCCUUGUGCCACUGGUGUUUCAACACCAGGGAUGUGAUUUUGCUCUAUAGUUUGCAGUACAUUAGACAAUUUUGUAUGCUAUUCAGUAAUUAAUGCUAAAGUUUAUUCCUACAGCUUGUACUUGAACAGGUCCCUGUUUACCGAUGGCGAAAACUCAUCCUUGAUCCAGCUUACUUCUGCAAAUGUUGACCAACAGACAAUUCUCUUCAUGCCUUAUUCAUAACAUCAAAUUUCUCAACCUGAUGGCAUCUGUCAAGGAUCUCUAAAGCCGAUGGAUUAAACUUGUGUUUUUCUCGUGUGUUCAUUAUACAUGGUUAUCUUCGUAGGCUAAUUUCACUUUUGAUGAACUGAUGAUAAAGCGACAAUGGAAUCAGAAGGUGGUACGGCCGGCGGAUGCAUCCAUGUGCUAAUCAUCUGGCACCAAGCGGACGGAGCCGUACGAGUUGGGGCCACCAGCUGGCUGACAGUGCACACAUGGGCGAGCAUGAGCAACAUGGAGCUAGGGAGUAAGCUGGGAGCGGAUGGACGGGGCGUGAGGUAGAACGGGGGUGGGGAGCGGGCGGACCGUGGACAGAAGAGAACAACACCGGAAACAUCCUUUCUAAAGUUUUCUUGGGGCUGUACUGACGAACAACUUGUUCAGUGAUACCAACCCCUUCGAGCUCCCUCAACCCUUCGACAACACUUAUUCAGUUUCUCACCACAAGUAGUAAGAGACAUGAUCAGAUCGCUAACCAGUGAUGAAGGCGUUAUGUGGUCGUUGACGUCAUGCUAAAUGUUGGUGUAGUGCCAAAUAAGAAGAUACGGAACAAAAUCCCUAAGCUAGACAUUAUGGUAUAAUGGAAAUUUGAGGAUUCUUUCCUAUCAUACCCA